AGGUGUCUGUCCUCCGAGGUGUCUGUGUGUCCUCCGAGUUGUCCCGCACCUUGUGAGCCCGAGCACGCGACCCAGAAAUGGGGACACGGUCAGCGAGCAUCGGCAGGCAGGGGGCCUCUGCACAGACCCGGCUGCGCGUGUCCUCGUGUGUCUGGCCCGGCCGGGAGGGAGCACGGAGGAUGCGGCCGGCGCAGCCCCGCCCCCCCCGCUCCCCCUCCCCCGGGACGGCCACCCGGGGCACGUCAGCUGCCCAGGGCCAUCUGCGCGCCAGGCCCUUCCGCCACACUCUUGCGCCUACGUUGGGCCAGAGGCCGGCCCGGCCCCCGAGGUCCCUCCCCGCAGGGCUGUGCUGGCCUAGAGACCCGACCGUGGCCGGGACGAAACCCCGCGUCCCCUCGGGAUGCACGGGGAAUAAGCCGUUCUGCACCCGUCGGCGGACAGUCAGGUGGAGGGGGCUCCUCGACGGGCCAUCUGGACCCCCAGGACGAGCCGUGGCCCCGUCCCCGGGGGCCAAGAUGUCGGGCCGGGCGGUGUGGCCGGAGGGCCAGGCGCAGACGGCCCCUCCUCACCAGGUGUCACCCUCCCGGGCCAUGAGGGCCGUCGCUCCCGCUCCCCGCCCUGCCAGCUCUGCGCUCAGGGGCCUGGUCGUAUCCCGUCGGAGCCCCGGAGGACCCCGUGGGGACGUCACCUCAGAGAAAUAUUAUCGGUUGGCCUAGAUGCUGUGAAUCAUAUAAAUUGAGCUCAUACUUAGAAGAAAUUUAAACAAUCAAGCAUCCUUGUGUUUCAGAGGAAAACUUACUCCUGAUACAUUCAAAGGUAUGUGGGUUUUUUCAUAAUUUGGAUUCCUUUCUAUUAUGUUUCUUUGUUUCUCUGUAUUUCAUAUUUCACAGAGGCAAUUGUAUUCCACGUUUAUAAUACUACAUACUAUCCAGAAUUAAUUAAUUUAGCUUGACCACAAUCGAAUUACUCUUUGAUAAGUUAAGUGAAAUUUUUACUUUCUAAUGUAGCAAAGCAUUUGUCUCUAUUUUUUAAAGUUUUGUUACAGAACUGAAAAGAAUAUUCCCAAACCAAAGCACAAUAAUAUUUCUUUUAAUUUCUUAUAAAUUAAAUUAAAAUAACAUUUUCAGGGCCUGUUAAAAACAUUGAAUAAUAUUUCAUUUAAGUACAUUAAAUAACUUACUUCUAAAAUGAGAUCAUUUACAAAAUGUUCAUACCAUCUUUUCCUUAUAAUUAAAAAAAAUAGAAUAUAAACAAACUGUGCUUCUUAUAUCUGCAUUAUUACACAUUAUAUUCACUUUCUAUAGAAAGAUUUAAGGUUUUUCUACUUGUGGUUGUAAAGUAAGUCAAGAACUUGGGCCUUGAAGCAAUAUGUAUUUCUUAGGAUGUUUCGAGUUUUGCUUCAUAUUCCAUGUUUCUAAUUUGUGCGGUAAUUAUAGUGCAAUGUCUAAGAAAAGUACUGAUUAAAGAUGGAAACUUUUAGGGAGAAAUCACUCUAAUUUAUUGAUGGAUCAAAUAGUACCAGAAUCAAAGAUAAUUAGAAAACUCUCUUUCUGGGAAAGGUCAUUGUUUACAUCUUUUGCAUUGUGGAUUCCUGGAGCUCAGAGAUGUUACUUAAUUUUUUUUUUCUUCUCAGAUAACUAACUUAUUUUUAGUGGUAGCAAUGCCCAGUGGACAAUACAAGAAAUAUUCCUGUGGCUCUCGUUCUAA
rnacentral:lncRNA from 1 species